ACUGAUAGAGCCACCCAGGGGCCCCAUGAAAUUAUUUUCUUAAUUUACUUUGAAUUGUUUUCAGUGUAUAGAAAUGCAACUGAUUUUUGUGUAUUGAUUUUGCAUUUUGCAAUGUUACUUAGUUUAUUACCUCUAAUGUUGUGUAUGUGUGUGUGUGGGUGUGUGUGUGAGUGUGUGUGUGUGUGUGUAUGUGUGUGUGUGUGUGUAAGGGUGA